UUGGGGGGUCACAGCGACCAGGAAACGCCCGGACCCAUUCCGAACCCGGAAGCUAAGCUGGCCAACGGCAAAGGUACUGCACCCGAGAGGAUGUGGGAGAAAAGCACACCCCCCAAA
rnacentral:rRNA from 1 species